GAUAAAAAAAAAUAUAGUAUAAAAGUCCUAAUUGAAUAGUUUGGAGAGUUUUAAAUUUUUAUUAAGUAGUAAAAAGUAGGAAAAACAAUUAAUUUAAUAAAAUAUAAAUAACUAAUUAUAUAAUUGUAAAAUGCACGACAGUCAAAUCAAAUGCAUAAUAUACUAUAGCAAAAUCAAAGCUACAAUGUACUACAAUCAAACCAAAUGAAAUCUCAUCCAAUAUCCAAAGUUUAUAACAAAAUGUUUGGAGAUGUCAUCUAUAAAUAAGUGAGUCAAUAAAUGGGUAAGCAACCUUUUGUGCCUUUUAAUCCAAUUGACUAAAAGUUAAAAAAGGUUGAAAAAUUUAUAAUUAUUAAACCUGUUUAAGAAUUGGAAAAAUUGGGAAAAAAAUAAAUUAAUUUCAACAUUGAUUUUAUUUUUCCUAAUUUUCUUUAUUUUCGGAUCGGGGGGACUUUAAAGAAAUACUCUUAAUAUUGAAAUCAUUUUGAAAUAUCAGUAGAAGAGUCGCUCCACACAAUUAUGCCUUGACUAAAACUAGGGAUGAACGCGAUUCGGUUUGGGCGGUUUGUGUUAUAUUUCAACUCAAACCGUUUUAUGCGGUUUGAAAUUUUUCCAAACCAAACCAAAUCAUAAUUUGCGGUUUAGUUCGAUUUUAACCUAUCAACAUUAUAGUAAUUUAUUUAACAUAAGUUAACAUAGAAGUUUAAACGAGAACUAAUAAUGUUACCAUAAAAUCGAUGAAUAAAUUAUUUUCAAAGUUGGUUGCUAAAAGAUGUUAUAAGUACAUCUUUUUCAUUUUUAUUUACCUUUUAUUGUUUGAUAUUCAUAUUGUCAUAUAGCGAAUGGUGUAAAGGUAGAGUUACAUUCUACUAUUAUAGGUUGGUUAAAACUUCUUUCGUCUUGCUAGUGAGAUGUUAAAUAAAGAUUGAACAGGAUAUGUUUAUAUGUACAAAGAUUGAUAAAAUUUCGGCUUACUGGAAAUUGACGAAUUUCAUUAUCUAACUAUUUUAUGAAAGUAGAAAGUAGUAGUACUAGUUAGGGAACUUAAACAUUUUCACACAAUCAAUACAGUCCUUCGUUCUUUCCAAAUCGCGAACAAAUUCGUUAAUCAUUUAGGCACACAAAAAGUUAUUUUUCUAUCCAAACCACAACUUACAAGUGUAUAAUAAGUUCACAAACAACAAAUAAAAGAAGAACAAUGGAAAAUGCAUGAAUGAAAAUUUGAGACUUACUGAAAAGGAAGAGAGAAAGAGGUGAUUCAAGUAGAAAUUAGCAUACUAACAUUCAAAAGCGACUGGCAAUUUGAUCAGUAGUAGCAGACAAGCGUCAAAUGUUAGGGAAACGAGAGUUUAUGUUAAGGUUUAUGAAACUUUGGAUGUGAUUUGCUG
rnacentral:lncRNA from 1 species